rnacentral:rRNA from 1 species
CCUACGGGGGGCUGCAGUGAGGAAUAUUGGUCAAUGGGCGGGAGCCUGAACCAGCCAUCCCGCGUGCAGGAAGACGGCCCUAUGGGUUGUAAACUGCUUUUGUGCAGGAAGAACGCCAGGUAUGUAUACUUGGGUGACGGUACUGCAUGAAUAAGCACCGGCUAACUCCGUGCCAGCAGCCGCGGUAAUACGGAGGGUGCAAGCGUUAUCCGGAUUUAUUGGGUUUAAAGGGUGCGUAGGCGGUGGAAGUGAAAAACUGCAGCUCAAAUGUAGUCGUGCCAUUGAAACUGUUUUACUUGAGUAACCAGGAGGUAGGCGGAAUGUGUAGUGUAGCGGUGAAAUGCUUAGAUAUUACACAGAACACCGAUUGCGUAGGCAGCUUACUAUCGGUUCACUGACGCUGAUGCACGAAAGCGUGGGGAUCAAACAGGAUUAGAUACCCUUGUAGUC